AAAUAUUAAUUAAAUUAAGAAUGGAGAGAGUGAGUUUGUCUAUUUGACAAAGGAAGCAAAUACAGCUUCAAGUGGUGAAGCUUGGUGCUAGAAUAUUGCCCAUCUUGAAUCCUUUUUGAAUAUAGAGAGAUCUAAAACACAAAACUCAAGAUAAAAGAUUAGUCCAAUAAUUGUAAUUAUUUGUUAUCAUCAAAAUCUAAUAGAAGAUUAGGACCACUUGGCCAACAUACCAUGCCUUCAAUGAUAAGCAAUGCAUGCAAUGUCCAUUUUGCAAUAAUUUUACUAUUAUGCUAAUAUGAUGUCAUGAGUAUAUAUGCAAUAUAGUUAUGCAAUCUACCAACAAACACUAUGUCUUCUCAAGUAUGAAUGCAUAUCUACUAUGCCAUUCAUGUUCUUUGCCUAAUCUGCUUGGCUAACCCGAAGGUUAUGCUAUCGACUCACUCUCAAAUCUUAUAGGUGAGGAGAAUCUGCACUCGCACACCGAGACCGUCUGUCACGCCCCGCGACCGCCCACCUAUUUGGCCGGGUCGCGGCGCCGCCGACAGAUCGCCGAACGGACAGGGUUUCCCCUGUACUGCGGACAGAGUCUCCCCUGUACGUUCAAGGCAUAGCAAUCAAUACAAUGUGCGAAGUUCCAACCAGGAACACAUUUCAAUCAAGGAUUGCAUAAUGGAAGGUAUCAAACAACAUGAACACAUCCUAUAUUAUUACAUUCAUUCAUAUUCAUACAUUUUUACAUCCCAAAUACUUAUUACAUUUAACUUCCAAAUACAAUCCGAUUUAACAAUAUUAUUACAACUUGAUCCUUUUCAUUUUCUUGCAUCCCUAAGUAAGGCCGACUCAGGGUACCGCUAUCUCUGGUCUCGGUGGUAGGGCGCUAACUAUGGAGCUACGCCCUCGCCUCGCGCCGCCGCGCCGCUCACGUGCGAACCUGUAACACCCCAAAACCACGUGGGGUGAGAACCAACUCCAUGGUUCCCAGUGGGUACGGCCACCCAAGGGAAAAGCUCGACCAAUAGGUCCAAGGGAGGCAACUGCAAGUUAGUUCAAUAAACAGAUAGAUAUAUAUCUUGAUUAUGCAACGAAUAAAACCAUGCAUUGCCUCACGAAUGCAAUAAUGCAAUGCUAUAUGCAAAUCAUGCAAUAAUGCAACUAUGCAACCAACUAGUAGUUCAUUCGAUACUACUUUCAAUUCUGCUAACCAUAGCUCAUCCAUUUGAUAUCUAAGGUUUCCUCUAUCUUAGAUUCUUGUCAAUCACCGUUUUAAUCAUAAAGUUUCAUCUACCUUUACAAGGCUAACCACCCGACUCGGUCUUGAGUCAAUCGUCUGCGGAGUACCGCACUAGAACCAGGCUCGAGGCGAUGGACGUCUCACAUACACCUCAGCCCUAGAUCCUCUCGACUAGGAUACCAAAUCCAUAACUCAUAAUGCAUACUUGUUGUACACUCAUUUGGCUAUGACCCAAUCUUACCGGUUAACCAUGUUAACCCCAAUAACUCACUACCAAAAUCCCUUAAUAACGGGGGACUCGAACCUCCCUGGGGACCGUCAUCUGGGGGGACUUUACCACGCCCAGUGGUGACCAACUCCGGAGCGCACCGCCCGAGGGGGAGCUACCUCCCUCAAGCCAAGACGUAACGUGAGUAUCGAUCCAAUCCUCAACUUGAGGAUUCAUAGCCACUCGUCACAAUGCCAAUGUCAUGAUAGGUCUCUACCUAUUUAAUCAUGCCACUCUCUAUGUCAACUUGGACCAAUGUCAAUAUGGUUAAACUAUGUUUAACAAUCACUUUCUUGAUGCCAAUCAUGUCUCUAUUGUCAUUGUCACCCUUGUUUACUAAUGUUCAAGUCCAACUCUCACAUUUACACAAUAAUAGGGUCCUAACAUACAUGAAUGACACCAGAAUAUAUAUGAUCAAUCACCACAAGUGUUUGCUAGGUUCAAGAUGCUAGGUUUAAUGCCACUCGAUCUAAUAUAUAUAUAGAUUGUCCACUAUGUUCCACAACAUGGCAAUAUGUCAUCAAGUAUGUUUUUCUAUUUAACAUAAUCCACAAUAUGUAAAUUCAUAAUAUAUCAUCAUGCACAUAUACCACUAGCAUCACAUGAUUUGUCAACAUACAUAUAGUCAUUAUCCAAAAUAGUCCAUACUUAGCAUCUCAUGCAUUCUUUUAGCACUUAAUUCAUUAUGCAUUACAUUUAGCAUAUUCUACAACAUGUCAUCAUACAUUCCUUUUAUGAUGUUCUUAUAAUGCUAACAUUCAUACGCCCUUUAUAUUAUGCAUUCAAAGCAUUAAUCAUAUGCAUUUAUCUAGCAUUUCUAUAGUAUGUUAACAUGCAUUCUUUUCACAUUCUUAUAUUAUGUCAAUAUGCAUCAAUAUGAAAUCUCAUUUCUUAGACAUAAAGGGCGACCUAGUCGCUUCGGUAAGCACAACCCACCUCAUUUCGCAUUCCGAUUGCUUGUCGACACUUGCAAUCGGCCUCCCGCGGCACCCGGCACCCGGUUUGGCCCGAUCUCUCACGCGACCACCCGAACGGCCUCCAAUUCACGAUCCGAAAAUUAAAGGUCUUCGGUUAUGUGCCACGAUACUUCAAAUCCAUUUUCAUGAGUUUACGAUAUCGCCUCGGCCCUCCAGGCGAAAACGAAGCCUAAACGUCUAUUUCUUUAAUAACUUCGCAACGGCUCUACGAAUCGUCGAACCGUCUUCGCCAACGCGUUCGUUUACCUAGCAAUUUGGUUUACGGAGGGUCAAAUGAGAUCAAACCCAUAUAUUUUACAAAACCCCAUUCGGAGCCCUAACAUGCAAUUAACCUCUAAAUAAUCCAAAUUAAAUAGAGCAAACAUGUUUAGAAUGCUCAUUAGAGGCUAUUAGAACACUUAAAACUAAGGAUUAAGCCAAAUCCCAAAAGCUUACCUCAAUGUGAACGCCGCGACGAAAAUACGCCGCUCCAACGGGCGCACGAAAGCUCGAUCCGUCGCCUCCAAUGCGUUCGCAAGCAUCUUCUCCACCAACCCUCCAAUUUUUAGAGAGAGAUUUAGAGAGAUGAGGGAGAUAUCUAGAGAGAGGUAGAGGUGUUUCUCUCUCUAUCUCCAUGAGUGUGCGUGUGUGUGUGGCGUGUGUGCGGCUGAAGGAGGAGGAAGAAGCUUCAGCUUCUUUAUAACACACCCCAAGACACUAUUCACUCCCGGGCAGCUUGAAAUCUGAUAACUUUCGCCGGAGCUCCCUGAAUGUCCGUUUGAGCUCAAACUUGACAGUCAUGUUCGGUUUUACUUAACUUAACAAGCUGACGAUCGCUGGUUCAGUUUCGACCCCGUUUGGUCACUGAAAACUGUACCGAACUGUAAUCUUUAUCAGAUAACUGUCGGAUUUUAUUUCUCACUCUAUGGGUGUCAGAAAAAUAUGAAACCUUAAAUCUAGCCUCAUAAAAAUAUUUCUGACAUCUCUGCCAAUUUUCAUAAUUUUCUGAGACUAUGCAUUUUCUGCUAAUUUUUCUGUCCCGUUUCCAACAGAAAAUUCUAGAUCUUCUGUUUUCAUUCCGAUUUCUGUACAAGUCACUUCUGACUUAUGUUUUACUCCUACAAAUCCAAUAAAAAUAGUUUCUGACACUAUUUUUAUUUAUUUUUAUUUUUAUACCAAAAUCUGGUAUGUUACACCGUCUGUGGGACAACUACGUCUG
rnacentral:lncRNA from 1 species